rnacentral:misc_RNA from 1 species
UCUCCGUAGGUGAACCUGCGGAGGGAUCAUCAGUGGAAAUGUGUCUUCACCAAGCUGUGGGGGGGGUGCGUGGGGGGGCCAAAGGUUUUGGGGAGGGUUGAAUCCUCUGCAAGGCUUUCUGGGAGCCUGGCUUUCUCUCGCGCUUCCUGCAGCUUCAUCCAACCGAUCACAACAACAAUUAUCAGAGAAGUUUGACUUGGUGUGGGGGGAUGCCGUUUUAUUAUAUUAUACCACGGCACUCAAAAAAAGUGUUUGCCUGACAGAUGAUAUUCUCAAUGCCAUUGAUUUGUAUUUGUGGUGGUUGGGUUGGAAAAUAUAACCAAUAUACAACUUUCAACAACGGAUCUCUUGGCUCUC